UCUAACAAAACUUGAAACAGACCUCAAGGAUGGAUGUUUUUCUAUUUUUUAUGAGGUUUGAAAAAUCUCCAGAACUUGGACCUGGAGCGAUUGCUUAGUGGUUCAAGACACAAGAUGCUCUACCAGAAGACCCGUUUGGAUCCUACCACCACCACAGCAGAAAAACCCAUAACUGCCUGUAAUGCCAGCUGUGGGAACUCAGACACUCUCUUCUGGAUGUUGCAGGGAUCUCUGAGCCUCAGCCGAAGAGUGUGUGAUUUAUACGACCAUUUAGGAGUGACCAUUCUUCAGUCUCUAAUUCACUGCUCCUGGACCAGUGUAUCCAGCUGCUCUAAGAUCCUGCUGCCGUGACUUCCUCAACACAUGGCUGGAAAUCCCAAAUUGUGUGUCCAAGGAAACCUCUUCUCCCUUAAGUUGCAUGUAUUAAUAAGAAAGACUUGGAGCUGGAAAAGUCAACAGUCUGUGACUCCCAAAGGAUUCUACCAUUUUAGCAGCUCCAAACUGAGAGACAGCCUUCAACAAAAGGACUUUUGAAUGACUUCGUAGAUCCAGACUACAGUAACUCACAAGAGAAAACCUUCUUAAGGUAUAUUCAGUAUCAUUUUUAAUAAUUUUAAUUUAAUUUAAAUAUUUUGAGAUUUUAAUAUAAUUAUAUCCUUUACUUUUCCUUCAAACCCCUCCCAUGUACCUCUCUUUGUUAUGUUUCAAAUUCAUUGCCUCUUUUUUGUCCUUAAUUGUUACAUACGUGUGUGUGUUUCUAAAAAUAUAAGUACAAUCUGCUCAGUCUGUAUAAUGCUACUAGUAUAUAUAUAUUGUCAGGAAUAAUUCAAUCUCCGUUAUUUGAAAGUGAGUAACAAUUGAAGUGCUCAUCCCUAGGGAAGACUAUUUCUCCUGCUCCCGGUAGUCCUUGGCUUCCUCUAGUUCUUUUGUGUUUUUGCACUUGAGUAAUGGUGAAUGCAUUUUUUCUUCUACUAUACAAUUUUGCUUUUCCUAUAUAGUUCCUAGAAUUCUGUAUAACUAUCUGAUAUACCUUCAUCUAAAAUACUUUCUUCUUCUUGUAGCUUCAUUGAAACAGAGUUUAAUGUAGCCCAUCCUUGCCUGAAAUCUUUUAUGUAUCCAAGGAUUAUUUUGAAUUCCUGUUCUCACCUUUGUAGCUUUAUGAAUGUUGAUAUUGCAAGCAUACAGCCCCACACCUCCUUAAAAAUAGGGUUAGUAAGCUAUGACAGCAAGUAAGUAAAAGAAGAAUUUCAAGACUGGUAAAGCUGUGAGUACUAGCAAAUUUAAAUUAUAUAUUGCAAAACAUAAUUAUGUGAUUAGACAGUUUAAUUGUAUCACAAAGAGAAUAAACCCCAAAUAACUUCAAAUACAAUGUUUAUUUAAUCUCCUAAUAUUUUGUUAUAUUAAUUAUAGAAUUUACUCAUUUUUAGUAUACAUAUAGGUAAAUUGAUUUCAAAAUAUUUGGGACUAGAGAGAUGGGACAGUAGUUAAAAACACAGUGUUUCUCCAGAGCAUCAUGGUUAUGAUCUGAGAACUCACAUCAGCCUUCUCACAGUAGCCUGUCACACCCCAGAUGUAACACCUUCUUCUGGCCUUUCCAGGCACCCACACUCAU